GUAGGUGGCAAGCGUUGUCCGGAAUUAUUGGGCGUAAAGCGCGCGCAGGUGGUUCUUUAAGUCUGAUGUGAAAGCCCCCGGGCUCAACCCGGGGAGGGUCAUUGGAAACUGGGGAACUUGAGUGCAGGAGAGGAAAGUGGAAUUCCACGUGUAGCGGUGAAAUGCGUAGAUAUGUGGAGGAACACCAGUGGCGAAGGCGACUUUCUGGCCUGUAACUGACACUGAGGCGCGAAAGCGUGGGGAGCAAACAGGAUUAGAUACCCUGGUAGUCCACGCCGUAAACGAUGAGUGCUAAGUGUUGGGGGGUUUCCGCCACUCAGUGCUGCAGCUAACGCAUUAAGCACUCCGCCUGGGGAGUACGGUCGCAAGACUG
rnacentral:rRNA from 1 species